UACAGAGGUGGCAAGCGUUGUUCGGAAUUACUGGGCGUAAAGGGCGCGUAGGCGGCCUUCUAAGUCAGACGUGAAAUCCCCCGGCUUAACCUGGGAACUGCGUCUGAUACUGGCAGGCUUGAAUGCGGGAGAGGGAUGUGGAAUUCCAGGUGUAGCGGUGAAAUGCGUAGAUAUCUGGAGGAACACCGGUGGCGAAGGCGGCAUCCUGGACCGACAUUGACGCUGAGGCGCGAAAGCUAGGGUAGCAAACGGG
rnacentral:rRNA from 1 species